UACCAGCACCCCGAGUGGUCGGGACGAUUAUUGGGCCUAAAGCAUCCGUAGCCGGUCAUGCAAGUCUUCCGUUAAAUCCAGCCGCUCAACGGUUGGGCUGCGGAGGAUACUACGUGGCUAGGAGGCGGGAGAGGCAAGCGGUACUCAGUGGGUAGGGGUAAAAUCCUUUGAUCCAUUGAAGACCACCAGUGGCGAAGGCGGCUUGCCAGAACGCGCUCGACGGUGAGGGAUGAAAGCUGGGGGGGAGCAAAGCCGG
rnacentral:rRNA from 1 species